UACGUAGGUGGCAAGCGUUGUCCGGAUUUAUUGGGUUUAAAGGGUGCGUAGGCGGCUUUGUAAGUCAGUGGUGAAAUAUGGCAGCUUAACUGUCAAGGUGCCAUUGAUACUGCAGAGCUUGAGUACAGAUGAGGUAGGCGGAAUUGACGGUGUAGCGGUGAAAUGCUUAGAUAUCGUCAAGAACACCUAUAGCGAAGGCAGCUUACUAGCUGUAACUGACGCUGAGGCACGAAAGUGUGGGGAUCAAACAGG
rnacentral:rRNA from 1 species